rnacentral:rRNA from 1 species
AACGAACGCUGGCGGCGUGCCUAACACAUGCAAGUCGAGCGCGAAUAGGUAGCAAUACCUUAGUAGAGCGGCGCACGGGUGAGUAACACGUGGGUAAUUUGCCUCAUAGUUCGGGAUAACCUGCCGAAAGGCUGGCUAAUACCGGGUAAGGCCUUAGGGACUUCGGUUUUUAAGGAGAAAGGUGGCCACUGCAAGCAAGCUACCGCUAUGAGAUAAGCCCGCGGCCCAUCAGCUCGUUGGCGGGGUAACGGCCCACCAAGGCAACGACGGGUAGCUGGUCUGAGAGGACGAACAGCCACACUGGAACCGAGACACGGUCCAGACUCCUACGGGAGGCAGCAGUGGGGAAUUUUGCGCAAUGGGGGAAACCCUGACGCAGCAACGCCGCGUGUGUGAUGAAGGUCUUUGGAUUGUAAAGCACUUUCGACUGGGACGAAUGGCUGAAGCCCAACACGCUUCAGUUUGACGGUACCAGGAGAAGAAGCACCGGCUAACUCUGUGCCAGCCGCCGCAGUAA